rnacentral:rRNA from 1 species
GUGGGGAAUAUUGGACAAUGGGCGAAAGCCUGAUCCAGCCAUGCCGCGUGUGUGAAGAAGGUCUUCGGAUUGUAAAGCACUUUAAGUUGGGAGGAAGGGCAGUAAGUUAAUACCUUGCUGUUUUGACGUUACCGACAGAAUAAGCACCGGCUAACUACGUGCCAGCAGCCGCGGUAAUACGUAGGGUGCAAGCGUUAAUCGGAAUUACUGGGCGUAAAGCGUGCGCAGGCGGUUAUAUAAGACAGAUGUGAAAUCCCCGGGCUCAACCUGGGAACUGCCUCCAAAACUGCAUGACUAGAGUACGGUAGAGGGUAGUGGAAUUUCCUGUGUAGCGGUGAAAUGCGUAGAUAUAGGAAGGAACACCAGUGGCGAAGGCGACUACCUGGACUGAUACUGACACUGAGGUGCGAAAGCGUGGGGAGCAAACAGGAUUAGAAACCCUUGUAGUCC